CUAACACAUGCAAGUCGAGCGGUAGCGGGCCUGACCACUCUCGAGUGGUUCAGGUGCCGACGAGCGGCGGACGGGUGCGUAACACGUAGGAAUCUGCCCGGUAGUGGGGGAUAGCCCGGAGAAAUUCGGAUUAAUACCGCAUACGCCCUAAGGGGGAAAGCAGGGGAUCGGUUCGCCGACCUUGCGCUAUCGGAUGAGCCUGCGUCGGAUUAGCUAGUUGGUGGGGUAAAGGCCUACCAAGGCGACGAUCCGUAGCUGGUCUGAGAGGAUGAUCAGCCACACUGGGACUGAGACACGGCCCAGACUCCUACGGGAGGCAGCAGUGGGGAAUAUUGCACAAUGGGCGAAAGCCUGAUGCAGCCAUGCCGCGUGUGUGAAGAAGGCCCUAGGGUUGUAAAGCACUUUCAGUGGGGAGGAAAGGUCGAAGGUUAAUACCCUUUGGCUGUGACGUUACCCACAGAAGAAGCACCGGCUAACUCCGUGCCAGCAGCCGCGGUAAUACGGAGGGUGCGAGC
rnacentral:rRNA from 1 species